rnacentral:rRNA from 1 species
GACGAACGCUGGCGGCAUGCUUAACACCUGCAAGUCGAACGAAGUGGCUAACGGGUGAGUAAUACGUGGGUAACCUGCCCUCCUUUUUGGGAUAAGCGUUGGAAACGGGGUCUAAUACCGACUACAGGGGGAUGAGCUCGGGGCCUAUCAGCGUGUGGGUGGGGUGAUGGCCUACCACGGCGGUGACGGGGAGACGGCCUGAGAGGGUGACCGGCCCCAGUGGGACGGGGCGACGGCCGAGACUCCUACGGGGGGCAGAAGUGGGGGAGAUUGGAGAAUGGGCGAAAGAGUGAUGCAGCUACGCCGAGUGGGGGAUGCGGGCUUUCGGGUUGUAAACCUCUUUCGGUAUCGAACGGGUAGGUGGAGAAGAAGCGCCGGCUAACUACGUGCCAGCCGCCGCGGUAAUAC